rnacentral:rRNA from 1 species
CCUACGGGCGGCAGCAGGGGGGAAUAUUGGGCAAUGGGCGCAAGCCUGACCCAGCAACGCCGCGUGAAGGAAGAAGGCUUUCGGGUUGUAAACUUCUUUUGUCAGGGAAGAGUAGAAGACGGUACCUGACGUAUAAGCCUUGGCUAACUACGUGCCAGCAGCCGCGGUAAUACGUAGGUGGCAAGCGGUGUCCGGAUUGCCUGGGUGUAAAGGGCGUGUAGCCGGGUUGACAAGUCAGAUGUGAAAUCCUGCGGCUUAACCGCAGAACUGCAUUUGAAACUGUUGAUCUUGAGUACUGGAGAGGCAGGUGGAAUGCCUAGUGUAGCGGUGAAAUGCGUAGAUAUUAGGCGGAACACCAGUGGCGAAGGCAGUCUGCUGGACAGCAACUGACGGUGAGGCGCGAAAGCGUGGGGAGCAAACAGGAUUAGAUACCCGAGUAGUC